CAGAAUUUCUUGACGACCAUAGAGCAUUGGAACCACCUGAUCCCAUCCCGAACUCAGUAGUGAAACGAUGCAUCGCCG
rnacentral:rRNA from 3 species